AUUAUACUUCAUCUGUUCAAUAAAGGAUGUCUCAAUUUUGACUAAAUUUAAAUGUAUCUAUGCACUAAGUUAUGUCUAGAUAUAUCCAAAUUUUGACAAACUUAGACAUCUUUUGUUGGACAGAAGGAGUAGUAA
rfam:Brachypodium distachyon strain Bd21 chromosome 3, whole genome shotgun sequence.